rnacentral:rRNA from 1 species
AUAGGGGAACUGAGAGGUUUAUCCCCCACACUGGUACUGAGACACGGACCAGACUCCUACGGGAGGCAGCAGUGAGGAAUAUUGGUCAAUGGACGCAAGUCUGAACCAGCCACGUCGCGUGAAGGAAGACGGCCCUACGGGUUGUAAACUUCUUUUGUAAGGGAAUAAAGUGAGUCACGUGUGGCUUUUUGCAUGUACCUUACGAAUAAGGAUCGGCUAACUCCGUGCCAGCAGCCGCGGUAAUACGGAGGAUCCGAGCGUUAUCCGGAUUUAUUGGGUUUAAAGGGUGCUCAGGCGGGCCAUUAAGUCGGCGGUGAAAUUUUGCGGCUCAACCGUAAAAGUGCCUUCGAUACUGGUGGUCUUGAGUGUGGAUGAGGUAGGCGGAAUUUGUGGUGUAGCGGUGAAAUGCAUAGAUAUCACGAGGAACUCCGAUUGCUAAGGCAGCUUACUAAGCCAUAACUGACGCUCAAGCACGAAGGCGUGGGGAUAAAAGAGCAUUNGAUCCCCUGGUAGUCCACGCAGUCCCCCAUACGGGCGGCUGUUUGCGAUAUAUUUUAAGCGGUUGAGCGAAAGCGUUAAGUAAUCCCACCUGGGGAGUACGUUCGCAAGAAUGAAACUCAAAGGAAUUGACGGGGGCCCGCACAAGCGGAGGAACAUGUGGUUUAAUUCGAUGAUACGCGAGGAACCUUACCCGGGCUUGAAAUGCAGAUGACAGGCGGCGAGAACCGUUUUUCCUUCGGGACAUCUGUGUAGGUGCUGCAUGGUUGUCGUCAGCUCGUGCCGUGAGGUGUCGGCUUAAGUGCCAUAACGAGCGCAACCCUCAUCGUUAGUUGCCAUCAGGUCAAGCUGGGGACUCUAACGGGACUGCCAUCGUAAGAUGUGAGGAAGGUGGGGAUGACGUCAAAUCAUCAUGCCCCUUAUGUCUAGGGCUACACACGUGCUACAAUGGUCGGUACAAUAAGACGCAAGCCCGCGAGGGGGAGCAAAACUGGAAAACCGAUCUCAGUUCGGAUUGUAGGCUGAAACUCGCCUACAUGAAGCUGGAGUUGCUAGUAAUCGCGAAUCAGCAUGUCGCGGUGAAUACGUUCCCGGGCCUUGCACACACCGCCCGUCAAG